rnacentral:other from 1 species
AGAGUCCUGAUGUGUUUGUGGUAAACCCUAUGUUUUGACCUAACAUACUACCUUCGGGAGUUUGCGUUUCCUCGUGAAGUAAAUGCCUAUUUAGUAGGACUUACAACCACUCGGAACAGAACACCCACCUGCUGAGUGCGGGUUCAAAACGAAGGAUAAACGAGCGACGGCACAAUUGGGACUCUU